GGUUAAGUUAAUAAGGGCGCACGGUGGAUGCCUUGGCACUAGAAGCCGAAGAAGGACGUGACAAACGACGAAAUGCUUUGGGGAGCUGUAAGUAAGCGCUGAUCCAGAGAUGUCCGAAUGGGGAAACCUACUAACUAAUGGUUAGUAUCCAUAACUGUUAAGGUUAUGAGAAGGAAGACGCAGUGAACUGAAACAUCUAAGUAGCUGCAGGAAGAGAAAGCAAACGCGAUUGCCUUAGUAGCGGCGAGCGAAACGGCAGGAGGGCAAACCGAAGUGUUUACACUUCGGGGUUGUAGGACUGCGACGUGGGACUUUAAAAGGAUAGAAGAAUUACCUGGGAAGGUAAGCCAAAGAGAGUAAAAGCCUCGUAUUUAAAAUUCUUUUGAGCCCUAGCAGUAUCCUGAGUACGGCGAGACACGUGAAAUCUCGUUGGAAUCUGGGAGGACCAUCUCCCAACCCUAAAUACUCUCUAGUGACCGAUAGUGAACCAGUACCGUGAGGGAAAGGUGAAAAGCACCCCGGGAGGGGAGUGAAAUAGAACCUGAAACCGUGUGCCUACAACAAGUUCGAGCCCGUUAAUGGGUGAGAGCGUGCCUUUUGUAGAAUGAACCGGCGAGUUACGAUAUGAUGCGAGGUUAAGUUGAAGAGACGGAGCCGUAGGGAAACCGAGUCUUAAUAGGGCGAUUUAGUAUCAUGUUGUAGACCCGAAACCAUGUGACCUACCCAUGAGCAGGUUGAAGGUGAGGUAAAACUCACUGGAGGACCGAACCAGGGCACGUUGAAAAGUGCUUGGAUGACUUGUGGGUAGCGGAGAAAUUCCAAACGAACUUGGAGAUAGCUGGUUCUCUCCGAAAUAGCUUUAGGGCUAGCGUCGAUGUUAAGUCUCUUGGAGGUAGAGCACUGUUUCCGGCUGUUCCGCCAGAAUCCGUUCAAAUGCCGCAUCGUCAAAAUUCAAGACGAAAGUAUCAUCGUCAGACGUGCCAUCGACAAAAUCCAUGAGGUCACUUUCGCUAUCGUCUAAGAAAUCCUGCA
rnacentral:rRNA from 1 species